GUAAAAAAACGGGGAAUUUUGGACAGUAAUUUACCGUUUCUCAUAAAUACAGUUGAAUACUGUAAAUAAACAUUAAUAUGACAAACAAAAUAAUAACAGCAAGCUCCUGUUCAGUCUUACGGGAUAAUACAGUAUUUUUUGGUCUGGUCAGGCAUGUCAGACAUGUGACGAGCUCAUCUGCAACCAUGAGUAAAACUGAUUUAACUACACUGUUUUUCUGCAUUUUAUUAUACGAGAAGGAAGCAGAGUUAAGGACUAUCUAUCCAUUUUCACUCCGAUUGUGACCCUACCAGCACUGAGACGGACGACGAAUUCACUUGUUUUUUACUCCUCGCCUGUAUAUCAAGUUGCUGGUGAUGAAGUCACAUUUGGAGGUUGGAUGAUCAGCAGUGAAAACAUCAUCAUCUGUGAAGGCAAGAUGAAGCUGCGAGGACACUGGAGUUUGUUCAAAGAUGCUUAAUUGGUGUGAACCCUAAGAGGGGAACAAAAGCCAGGCAGGUGAAGGUGUCCAAGAAGACAGGAAAGCUUGUCCAGAAAAAUGCAGCAAUGGAGUGCAGAGUGGCCACCCUCAUCAAAAACUUCAUGGACUUUGAGUGGCUUUCACAUUGUAUUCUGCAGUGUUGUGAUAUUUAUGUGACAUCACAGCAUUAUGUUUUAUUCAGCCCAGUCUCAUUAGUGAGGCAGAAACUGACAUUUAAGAAUGCACUGAAUUUUGUUAUAUUUAAUAAAAACAGUGUUUUAUCAUCAUCCUUUGUUUGAGAAUUUUUUUGCAAGCAAU